GCUCUAGUAGUGUAAUGGAUCAGUAUGGUAGAUCGGAUAUCUGCAAGUGCGGGUUCGAGUCCUGCCUAAGGUU
rnacentral:tRNA from 1 species